GCCCUACGGGGCGCAGCAGUCGCGAAAACUUCGCAAUGGGGGCAACCCCGACGAGGGAAUUCCAAGUGCCAGCACUUUGUGUUGGCUGUUCUCCUGUCUAAAAAACAGGAGGAGUAAGGGGCGGGUAAGACGGGUGCCAGCCGCCGCGGUAAUACCCGCGCCCCUAGUGGUGGUCGAUAUUAUUGAGCCUAAAACGUCCGUAGCCGGUCUUUUAAAUCCUUGGGUAAAUCGGGCAGCUUAACUGUCCGAAGUCCGGGGAGACUGGGAGACUUGGGACCGGGAGAGGUCAGAGGUACUUCUGGGGUAGGGGUAAAAUCCUGUAAUCCUGGAAGGACCACCGGUGGCGAAGGCGUCUGACUAGAACGGAUCCGACGGCGAGGGACGAAGCCCUGGGGCGCAAACGGGAUUAGAUACCCCGGUAGUCCAGGGUGUAAACGCUGCGGGCUUGGUGUUGGGGGUCCUUAGUGGGCGCCCAGUGCCGGAGAGAAGUUGUUAAGCCUGCUGCUUGGGGAGUAUGUCCGCAAGGAUGAAACUUAAAGGAAUUGGCGGGGGAGCACCGCAACGGGAGGAGCGUGCGGUUCAAUUGGAUUCAACGCCGAAAAACUCACCA
rnacentral:rRNA from 1 species